rnacentral:misc_RNA from 1 species
GUAUUUCGAAUUAUGUAUUCAAAAAUCUUCAGACAAAAAAUUUUAAUAAAGGGUUGGUAUUAUGCUGCCAAGAACGCGUAAAAAACGCGAACGCGACAGCAAACAUUGCACACAAGGUGAAUACUGAUUUUUAAAAAGUGCAGUAAAACACUUAUUAUGAAUGAUCCUUCCGCAGGUUCACCUACGGAAA